AUUGCCCUAGUAACGGCGAGUGAAGCGGCAACAGCUCAAAUUUGAAAUCUGGCCCUAGCGGUCCGAGUUGUAAUUUGCAGAGGAUGCUUUUGGUGCGGUGCCUUCCGAGUUCCCUGGAACGGGACGCCAGAGAGGGUGAGAGCCCCGUACGGUUGGACACCUACCCUAUAUAUAGCUCCUUCGACGAGUCGAGUAGUUUGGGAAUGCUGCUCUAAAUGGGAGGUAAAUUUCUUCUAAAGCUAAAUACCGGCCAGAGACCGAUAGCGCACAAGUAGAGUGAUCGAAAGAUGAAAAGCACUUUGAAAAGAGGGUUAAAUAGCACGUGAAAUUGUUGAAAGGGAAGCGUUUGCGACCAGACCUUUUCCAGGCGGAUCAUCCGGUGUUCUCACCGGUGCACUUCGCCUGGUUUAGGCCAGCAUCGGUUUUCUUAGGGGGAUAAAGGCCUGGGGAACGUAGCUCUUUAGGGAGUGUUAUAGCCCCUCGCGUAAUACCCCUCGGGGGACCGAGGACCGCGCUCUGCAAGGAUGCUGGCGUAAUGGUCGUCAACGACCCGUCUUGAAACACGGACCAAGGAGUCGAACAUUUGUGCGAGUGUUUGGGUGUUAAACCCUCACGCGUAAUGAAAGUGAACGGAGGUGAGAGCCCUCACGGGUGCAUCAUCGACCGAUCCUGAUGUCUUCGGAUGGAUUUGAGUAAGAGCAUAACUGUUCGGACCCGAAAGAUGGUGAACUAUGCGUGGAUAGGGUGAAGCCAGAGGAAACUCUGGUGGAGGCUCGCAGCGGUUCUGACGUGCAAAUCGAUCGUCAAAUCUGCGCAUGGGGGCGAAAGAC
rnacentral:rRNA from 1 species